rnacentral:rRNA from 1 species
ACCCUUAUCGGUGGAUCACUAGGCUCGUGGAUCGAUGAAGAACGCAGCAAACUGCGAUAAUUAUUGCGAACUGCAGAAGUAUUGAGCACAAAAGUUUUGAACGCAAAUGGCCGCAUUGAGGUCAAACUCUUUGCAACGUCUGGUUCAGGGUCAUUUUCUCUUAUAGCGGAAGCUUUAAUUUCUAUAAUGAUGUUGUUGCUUUAUAUUUUAAAAGGAUUUUUGUUUAUUCAUGUAUUAAAUCUAACUGUGAAAAUCAAACAAUUUUGACCUGAACUCAGUCGAGAGCACCCGCUGAACUUAAGCAUAUCAGUAAGCGGAGGAAAAGAAACUAAAUAGGAUUCCCCCAGUAACGGCGAGUGAAAAGGGAAAAGUCCAUCGCUAAAUCGUUUUGCCUCAGGCAUUAUGAGGUGUAGCGUAUAAGUCGUAAACUUUGAUCUUUUGUCUCAAACAAGUCCCCUUGAUAGAGGUUCCACAGAAGGUGCAAGUCCUGUACGUUGAGAUAAUUGAUCGAUAUUUGCGUGCUUUAGAGUCGGGUUGUUUGGGAUCGCAGCCCAAAGUCGGUGGUAAACUUCAUCUAAGACUUAAUAUUGCCACGAGACCGAUAGCAAACAAGUACUGUGAAGGAAAGUUGCAAAGCACUUUGAAGAGAGAGUUAAAGAGGACGUGAAACCGGUAAGGUGGAAACGGAUAGAGUCGGCGUAUCAUUCAAUUAUUCAGUUACAUUAUUUUUAUGUUGUGACCUCUGAGCUCCAGAUUGGGACAGAGGGAAUCAGCAUAAUUUUUUGUGGUGCAUUUACUUGAUUGGUGCUUGGGGAUGUUUGAGGCAGAUUUGUUUCCGUCGUUUUGAGGCCAGCUGCUGGUACCCAAACGGUGUUAGCAUUUUUUGUCUUGGGCAUUUGAGUAUGGCUCACGUGUAUUUAUUGGACAGAUCUGAGUGUAAGUUACGGUCGCAUGCGACACGUGCUUUUCAAUUAGUUCGGUCCAGUUAAUGCUCUCGUACUCGUUCCCCAUGUAAAAGCCGGUCAUCUAUCCGACCCGUCUUGAAACACGGACCAAGGAGUUUAUCGUGUGCGCAAGUUUUUGGGUGUUAAAAACUUAAAAGCGAAAUGAAAGUAAAUGACUCUUUAGAGUCUGAUGUGCGAUCUUGUAAAAAAGUGUAGCAUGGCCCCAUUCUAACUGUUUACAGUAGGGUGGCGGAAGAGCGUACGCGGUGAGACCCGAAAGAUGGUGAACUAUUCCUGAGCAGGACGAAGCCAGAGGAAACUCUGGUGGAAGUCCGAAGCGGUUCUGACGUGCAAAUCGAUCGUCUGACUUGGGUAUAGGGGCGAAAGACUAAUCGAACCAUCUAGUAGCUGGUUCCCUCUGAAGUUUCCCCCAGGAUAGCUGGAGCUCAAGAGUAGUUAUACUCGGUAAAGCGAAUGAUUAGAGGACUUGGGAACGAAAUGUUCUUAACCUAUUCUCAAACUCUAAAUGGUUAUGAUGUCAAAGUUGCUUGAUUUUGAACUUUGGCGUUGAAUACGAGCUCCAAGUGGGCCAUUUUUGGUAAGCAGAACUGGCGAUGUGGAUGAACCAAACGCGGAGUUGCGGUGCCAAAGUAUCCGCUCAUUAGACCCCAUAAAAGGUGUUGGUUGAUACAGACAGCAGGACGGUGGCCAUGGAAGUCGGAAUCCGCUAAGGAGUGUGUAACAACUCACCUGCCGAAUCAACUAGCCCUGAAAAUGGAUGGCGCUGGAGCGGGUCACCUAUACUCUGCCGUCAUAAGCUUGUAUUUUGUUAAAAAGUCUUGCAAUGACGUGUAAGAGGGUCGUAGUGGUUGCGUUGAAGGCUUUGGGUGUGCACCCAGCUGGAGCUUCCACUAGUGCAGAUCUUGGUGGUAGUAGCAAAUAUUCAAGUGAGAUCCUUGAAGACUGAAGUGGAGAAGGGUUCCACGUGAACAGCAGUUGAAUGUGGGUCAGUCGAUCCUAAGGCACCGGCUAAAGCCGUCUAGACACUGCGGGGAGAUGAGAUACUUAACGGUAACUUGUCUACCUGGUUGCCGAAAGGGAAGUGGGUUAAUAUUCCCACACCAGGCAUGGGAGAUUGUGAUCCGCGAGGAUUACUUUGCGCGGUGACGCAAACGAACUCGCAGACCUCGUGUGGAGUCCGGGCCAGAGUUCUCUUUUCUGGUUUAGAGAUCAUGUCCUGGAAGUGGCUCAGCCUGAGAUAGGGAUACUGGUCUUGUAAAGCGCAGCGGUUCCUGUUGUGUCCCGUGUGCUCCACAUGAGCCCCAGUAUCUGGCCCGAUUCCCAGGACGUCUCCGUUCCAAGUACUAAGGAAGCCCAGCGUUGCUUAACUUGCCAGAUCGGACGGGAUGGCGUGCUUUCAACGCGGUAUGGUCGUAAUCAAUGGGUUGUCAAUUCUUAAUAUUUAAAACAAAUUUCGCUGAGGCAAAGUGGGCGUGGCUUUUCGAUGUUCGCUGUUCGCGGGAAUGGUUUAAGGAAAACUCAAAUUGGGCUAAUCUAGAAACUCGUGGAGAGAAAUAAUAGGAUUAAAAAAUUUUUUGAAAAAUUUAAAGUUUAUUAUUAUAAUAAGCUUUUUUUUUGAAGAAUAAAGUUUAUUGUUAUUUAUUUUUUAAACUUUUAAAGUUUAUAAAAUUAAACUUAUAACAAUAAACUUCUAACAAUCCUUUAUUGACUCUCGCUGCAAAAUUAAUUUGGCUUCUGGCAAUUGUCAGGAAUUUAGCCGAUUAUAACUUUUGUGAAUUUAUAAUUAUAAUUAAUUAUUGACAUUCUUUUGCAAAGGAUAUUUAGUAUGUUAUCAGCUUCAUUAAUUUUUAAUUUUCGACUUUUAUUUCGGGAUUUUGAAUUCUAAAAUUAUCAAUGUAAUCAUUAUUAAUGACAGCUUAAUUACCAGCAGUCUCGGUAAUUCAAGCUUUGCUAAAUACCUAAAUAAAAGAUAUCUGGUUGAUCCUGCCUGAACUGAUGUGUUUAUUUCAAAGAUUAAGCCAUGCAUGUAUAAGUUUAAUCGUUUAUCGAGAAACCGCGAACGGCUCAUUACAAUGGCCAUUAUUUACUUGAUCUUGAUUGUCUAAAUGGAUAACUGUGGAAAAGCUAGAGCUAAUACAUGCACUAAAGCUUUGUCCUUACGGAAAAGCGCAUUUAUUAGAACAAAACCACGCGGCUUCGGCUGCUUCUUGUUGACUCAGAAUAACUUAGCUGACCGCAUGGCCUUGUGCCGGCGGCG